AGAGCGAACGCUGGCGGCAGGCUUAACACAUGCAAGUCGAGCGCCCGUAGCAAUACGGGAGCGGCAGACGGGUGAGUAACACGUGGGAACGUGCCUUUUGGUUCGGAACAACUGAGGGAAACUUCAGCUAAUACCGGAUAAGCCCUUACGGGGAAAGAUUUAUCGCCAAGAGAUCGGCCCGCGUCUGAUUAGCUAGUUGGUGGGUAAUGGCCCACCAAGGCUACGAUCAGUAGCUGGUCUGAGAGGAUGAUCAGCCACACUGGGACUGAGACACGGCCCAGACUCCGUACGGGAGGCAGCAGUGGGGAACCUUGGACAAGUGGGCGCAAGCCUGACUCCAGCCAUCGCCGCGUGAGUGAGUGAAGGCCGUUAGGUAGUAAGCUUCGUUCGAGGCGGGAAGAUAAGU
rnacentral:rRNA from 1 species